rnacentral:rRNA from 1 species
GGCUUAGAGUUUGAUCAUGGCUCAGGAUGAACGCUAGCUACAGGCUUAACACAUGCAAGUCGAGGGGCAGCGGGAUUGAAGCUUGCUUCAAUUGCCGGCGACCGGCGCACGGGUGAGUAACGCGUAUCCAACCUUCCGCUUACUCGGGGAUAGCCUUUCGAAAGAAAGAUUAAUACCCGAUUGUAUCUUAAGCACGCAUGAGAUUAAGAUUAAAGAUUUAUCGGUAAGCGAUGGGGAUGCGUUCCAUUAGGCAGUUGGCGGGGUAACGGCCCACCAAACCUACGAUGGAUAGGGGUUCUGAGAGGAAGGUCCCCCACAUUGGAACAGAGACACGGUCCAAACUCCUACGGGAGGCAGCAGUGAGGAAUAUUGGUCAAUGGGCGAGAGCCUGAACCAGCCAAGUAGCGUGAAGGAUGACGGCCCUACGGGUUGUAAACUUCUUUUGUGCGGGAAUAAAGGAGCCUACGUGUAGGCUUUUGCAUGUACCGUAACGAAUAAGCAUCGGCUAACUCCGUGCCAGCAGCCGCGGUAAUACGGAGGAUGCGAGCGUUAUCCGGAUUUAUUGGGUUUAAAGGGAGCGUAGACGGGUUUUUAAGUCAGCUGAGAAAGUUUGGGGCUCAACCUUAAAAUUGCAGUUGAAACUGGAGACCUUGAGUACGGUUGAGGCAGGCGGAAUUCGUGGUGUAGCGGUGAAAUGCUUAGAUAUCACGAAGAACCCGAUUGCGAAGGCAGCUGCUAAGCGCACUGACGUUGAGCUCGAAGUGCGGGUAUCAAACAGAUUAGAUACCCUGGUAGUCCGCACGGUAAACGAUGGAUACUCGCUGUUGNGAUAGACGUCAGCGCNAGCGAAAGCGUUAGUANUCUACC